GCAAGUCGAGCGAGAAAGCACUUCGGUGCGAGUACAGCGGCGGACGGGCGAGUAACGCGUAGGAAUCUACCCAGUAGUGGGGGACAACAUGGUGAAAACCGUGCUAAUACCGCAUACGCCCUAAGGGGGAAAGCGGGGGACCUUCGGGCCUCGCGCUAUUGGAUGAGCCUGCGUCGGAUUAGCUUGUUGGUGAGGUAAAAGCUCACCAAGGCGACGAUCAGUAGCCGACCUGAGAGGGUGAUC
rnacentral:rRNA from 1 species